rnacentral:tRNA from 1 species
GAGGGUAUAGCUCAGUGGUAGGGUGCAUGCUUAGCAUGCAAGAGGUCCUGGGUUCAAUCCCCAGUAUCUCCG